UGAUCACCUCUGCUGGUACACCGCUAGGUCUGAUCAGGUCUUGAUUCAGGAUAUGCAUUAUGUUUUAUUUUGGCCAUAGUCUAUUAAAUUGGGCUGAACCGCUUGCUUCACCCCAUACCGAAUCGAACCGAUACGGAAUCGGUACAAUUCGAUGUUUGUUUUUAGAAAACAGCUUGAAUAGCUCUGACCGUACACCAAGUUUGAACCCCCUCUUCAAUAUCUUAUAACACUUGAAAAUGAUCUGU
rnacentral:lncRNA from 1 species